GUGGGGGGAUGCGGAGUGGGAGCAGUCGCCAGGCGGGCCGGCCCCCAGAGAAGCCCGUCCACCAUGCGGGUCCCCGGCUGAGACGCUGCCCUCACUUCCCUGGGGGAGAGAGGCCGCUUGUACCAGGCAAAGGUUUCCACCGCAUUCCGACCAGCCAGGCCAUGAUAAGGCAGAGCGGGUGCCCUGAGGAGCCGUGCCGGGAUGCCGCCAUCCUCGGGAACCAGAAAUCUGCCUCCUGAGCCUCCCAGGGGGACAUGACCCUCCCCUAUAACCUGCCAGCUGUGCUGGACCAGCAGCAGGAACUCUGGGGACCACCAUCUGACUGCCCACAGGCUGGGUCUGGGCUUCCCAGGUCUGUGUGGACGAGGCAGUUUUCUGGAGUUUCACCCAGUGGGUCAUUGUCUGGGGAGGGGAAAUGUCCUGAACAUGGAUUCUGUGUUUGUUUUCCUGGAAAAGAAUGAUUUGAUUAAUUUGC